CAGCAGCCGCGGGAAAACGUAGGGUGCAAGCGUUAAUCGGAAUUACUGGGCGUAAAGCGUGCGCAGGCGGUUAUAUAAGACAGAUGUGAAAUCCCCGGGCUCAACCUGGGAACUGCAUUUGUGACUGUAUAGCUAGAGUACGGCAGAGGGGGAUGGAAUUCCGCGUGUAGCAGUGAAAUGCGUAGAUAUGCGGAGGAACACCGAUGGCGAAGGCAAUCCCCUGGGCCUGUACUGACGCUCAUGCACGAAAGCGUGGGGAGCAAACAGGAUUAGAUACCCCGGUAGUCCCUGUCUCUUAUAA
rnacentral:rRNA from 1 species